AGUGAACGCUGGCGGUAGGCCUAACACAUGCAAGUCGAACGGCAGCACAGUAAGAGCUUGCUCUUACGGGUGGCGAGUGGCGGACGGGUGAGGAAUACAUCGGAAUCUACUUUUUCGUGGGGGAUAACGUAGGGAAACUUACGCUAAUACCGCAUACGACCUACGGGUGAAAGCAGGGGAUCUUCGGACCUUGCGCGAUUGAAUGAGCCGAUGUCGGAUUAGUUAGUUGGCGGGGUAAAGGCCCACCAAGGCGACGAUCCGUAGCCGGUCUGAGAGGAUGAUCAGCCACACUGGAACUGAGACACGGUCCAGACUCCUACGGGAGGCAGCAGUGGGGAAUAUUGGACAAUGGGCGCAAGCCUGAUCCAGCCAUACCGCGUGGGUGAAGAAGGCCUUCGGGUUGUAAAGCCCUUUUGUUGGGAAAGAAAAGCAGCAGGUUAAUACCCCGCUGUUCUGACGGUACCCAAAGAAUAAGCACCGGCUAACUUCGUG
rnacentral:rRNA from 1 species